UGUAACCAGAUGGGGCUGUUUUGUAGCAGGAUCACUCAUAACAAGGAUACUUACUUUAACUACAACACACAGUUGCGUGUGCAGAACGUAGCAGGCGGAGAUGAUGGUGUAUACAGGUGUCUUGUGACUGGAUUAGAUCAGAUUACCAGACAAGGUGAUGUUACUUUGUCUAUCACCGGCUCCUCCAUCAUCGUCACACCGGAGCAAAGCAAGUUCAGUGUGGAAGUAGGACAGAAAGCCACUCUUCUAGCCACUAUCACGGGAGUAACGUCACUCAGCAGCAGG